AACACAUGCAAGUCGGGCGGUAACACAGGGAAGCUUGCUCCCGGGUGACGAGCGGCGGACGGGUGAGUAAUGUCUGGGAAACUGCCUGAUGGAGGGGGAUAACUACUGGAAACGGUAGCUAAUACCGCAUAACGUCGCAAGACCAAAGAGGGGGACCUUCGGGCCUCUUGCCAUCAGAUGUGCCCAGAUGGGAUUAGCUAGUAGGUGGGGUAAUGGCUCACCUAGGCGACGAUCCCUAGCUGGUCUGAGAGGAUGACCAGCCACACUGGAACUGAGACACGGUCCAGACUCCUACGGGAGGCAGCAGUGGGGAAUAUUGCACAAUGGGCGCAAGCCUGAUGCAGCCAUGCCGCGUGUAUGAAGAAGGCCUUCGGGUUGUAAAGUACUUUCAGCGGGGAGGAAGGCGUUGUGGUUAAUAACCACAGCGAUUGACGUUACCCGCAGAAGAAGCACCGGCUAACUCCGUGCCAGCAGCCGCGGUAAUACGGAGGGUGCAAGCGUUAAUCGGAAUUACUGGGCGUAAAGCGCACGCAGGCGGUCUGUCAAGUCGGAUGUGAAAUCCCCGGGCUCAACCUGGGAACUGCAUUCGAAACUGGCAGGCUAGAGUCUUGUAGAGGGGGGUAGAAUUCCAGGUGUAGCGGUGAAAUGCGUAGAGAUCUGGAGGAAUACCGGUGGCGAAGGCGGCCCCCUGGACAAAGACUGACGCUCAGGUGCGAAAGCGUGGGGGAGCAAACAGGAUUAGAUACCCUGGUAGUCCACGCCGUAACGAUGUCGACUUGGGAGGGUUGUUCCCUUGAGGAGUGGCUUCCGGAGCUAACGCGUUAAGUCGACCGCCCUGGGGAGUAC
rnacentral:rRNA from 1 species